rnacentral:misc_RNA from 1 species
CACGUGCCUGCAUAAGACCAUAACCAUGGGUCCACUUACCAAAUUUAAUAAAGGUGGGCCCUUAUUUCUAUGGGCCUAUUGUCGAAAUGGACAUCAGAACUGCAAAAUUGGACCAUCAAUUUCACCGUUAAGCGGUAGCCAGUCACUGCUUGCAGUUGCAGUUUGCUUAGAAAACCAAUCACGCCACCUAACAAUCUCUUCAGAUGAAUCAGAUCAGAGGUGAGCGGUCCUUAUCAUUUUACCAAUUGUCGGUGAUCCAGUUGAACGAUCCAAAUCAUACAUGACGCGGUCCCACACAAAUAACUGAAGACAACAGUCUUCUCUCCGUUUCUUUUGACGGGUGUUUUCGUGCGCAAAUCUCGGCUAUACAGUCAGAACUCAAGGGGCAUAUCCGUCAUUUCAGGGAACAAGAACAGCGAAAACUUAAAAAACCGGGAAAGAACCGAUUUUAUUCCGCUUGUCGGUGAGCAAAUGACCACCAUAUUACGAACAAAAAGCACAGACUCACCCGAUUCGAUUAAGCCCUGAUCCAGCCAUAAUUAGGAUUUGUAGAACCUAAAACAAGGCAUUUGCAUUGCUACAUUUUGCAAUAGAAGACGAAGAUUUCUCUCUCGCAUUGCUUAUUGAGAGCACUCGCAGAGUCUCCUGAAUCCUAGAAUUUCCUUCUCGUUCUGUAUGUGGUAGAUCUAGACCUUGAAUAUUGUUCUUUAUAGGAGCUAUAGUGAUCAGCUGGUGAUAUAAAGCUCGCAUUGCCUGAAAUGGGAGAGAAAUCGAGGUCCAGGGGAUGCUUUGGGUGGCUCAUUGUGGCUGUAGUAUUGGCAUUGGUUGUGGUUGCCGUUGUUUACACUGUUAAAAAGAAAACUAAUAAAUCCGAUGAGGCUUCUCCUGUUCCAGGGCCCCCUGGAGCCGUCGAGAAGCAGUACGCUGAUGCUCUUAAAAUCGCUAUGCAAUUCUUCGAUGUGCAAAAAUCUGGGAAGUUGGAGGAUAACAAGAUAUCUUGGAGAGGGAAUUCGGCUCUUAAGGAUGGGAGUGAAGCGAAACUGGACCUCUCAAAAGGAAUGUAUGAUGCCGGAGAUCAUAUGAAGUUUGGUUUUCCAAUGGCUUUUACCGCCACAGUGUUAUCUUGGGCCAUCCUUGAGUAUGGGGAUCAAAUGGAUGCUGUUAAUCAGUUGGAACCCGCUCAAGAUUCGCUCAAGUGGAUCACUGACUACCUUAUCAAUGCUCAUGCUGCGGACAAUGUGCUCUAUAUUCAGGUUGGUGAUCCUAAGACAGACCAUGGUUGUUGGGACAGGCCUGAGGACAUGACUGAGAAGAGGCCUCUCACUCAGGUGAACACAUCUUCUCCCGGAACAGACGUUGCAGCUGAAACUGCAGCUGCUAUGGCUUCAGCAUCACUGGUGUUUAAGAAAAGUGACCCCACAUAUUCAAGCACGCUCCUUAAGCAUGCUGAACAGUUAUUUACUUUUGCUGAUAAACACAGGGGUUCCUACAGUGAGAGCAUCCCUGAAGUUCAGACUUAUUACAAUUCAACAGGAUACGGGGAUGAGCUCCUGUGGGCAGCUAGCUGGCUCUACCAUGCUACAGGGGAUAAAUCAUAUCUUCAAUAUGUGACUGGGGAAAAUGGAAAAUCCUUUGCAAACUGGGGAAGUCCAACAUGGUUUAGCUGGGACAAUAAACUAGCGGGAACACAGGUUCUGUUGUCCAGAUUAACCUUCUUUGGUGAGAAAGACUCUUCAAACUCAGGCCUUCAAAUGUACAGGAAAACAGCUGAAGCUGUGAUGUGUGGCCUUAUACCGGAUUCUCCAACUGCCACAACUAGUAGAACUGAUGGUAAUGUUCUUCCUGAUAAUAAAUGACUAGGUGCUAUAUGAGUAGGAUAUUCCGGUUAGAAGCAAUAUUUUCCGAGUCCAUGUUUUGACCAAGUUUCUGACACCUGUUAUGGUUUGCACAUAAUGUUUUAAUUAUGUUUUACAUCUAAUCAGUGCAAUCUGACCUUGAUGCAUCAAGUGUUUUUAAAGAUACACAGCUGCUUUUUAUACCAAAUGGCCAAUUAGGCCCAAGUGGCACCUAUCAAACUAUUGCCAGACAUGUUAUGAGGGAAUGGUGGCUUUGCUUCUCUUCCCAUUUUGCUUUAUUUCAUUUUUUGCUGAGGAAACUUAUGAUGUUUUGUUAUGUACAGUCAAAUUAUAGGUGAUAGAAGGAAAAGAUAAAUGGAGGGCUGCUCGAAUUGUGAAAAUUAUUGAGGAAAAUGAGUUAUUGGUUCCCUUAUCUAGAUCAAUCUAGUAACUAAUGCCCUUUGCUGCUUUAUAAGGAAAUUGACUAUUAGUCAUAUAUCCACCCUUAAACAGGGCUACUUCUUUUGUUUUCUGUAAAGAUAGUUAAAAAGCUUUAGAAGACUAAGGGGAAAGCUUUAGACAUUAAAGAUUACCUUGAGAUACUUCACACUUAAACAGAUCAAAGACAUGCUGAGAUAUCAAAAUUUUUUAUCCAAUUUUUUAUAGAAUCUUUGCAUGGCAGAAUUACCCAAUUUUAAAUAUCAGUUGUGAAAUCUCUUUUAUUAAAAUUUACAGCUUCUUUGAUGCAGGUGGCCUUAUAUGGGUCAGUGAAUGGAAUGCGCUGCAACAUCCUGUUGCUUCUGCAUUUUUAGCUACUAUUUAUAGUGACUACAUGCUUACUUCAAGGACUGCAAAACUAUCGUGCAAUGGAGAAUCAUACAAACCAUCAGAUCUUCGGAAAUUCGCCAAGUCCCAGGCUGAUUAUGUCUUGGGCGACAAUCCUCUGAAAAUGAGUUUUCUAGUUGGAUAUGGUGACAAGUAUCCACAGUAUGUGCACCAUAGGGGAGCUUCAAUCCCAGCUGAUGCAACAACCGGCUGCAAGGAUGGCUGGAAAUGGCUUGAUUCAGAGAAACCCAAUCCCAACGUCGCGGUUGGAGCACUUGUGGGUGGGCCCUUCCUGAAUGAAACAUAUGAUGAUUCUCGGAACAACUCAAUGCAAGGGGAACCAAGCACAUAUAACGGUGCGGUAGUUGUUGGGCUGCUCUCGAGUCUGGUCACCACCUCUUCAGUAGUUCAGUCCUUCACUUAAAUCAACCUGGGUACAUAUCUAGUUACGCGUUGUUUGUAUUAUAUGUAGUUUUUACUUGUCAGGUUAUUUGUUUCCCUGCAUAUUUGGUUUCUUAAAUCUUAAAUAGUUUGUUUUGUAUUGUGAAACCUGGGUUGGGGUUCUUGUGCAAGGAGCAUUCUUUUUGUUGUACUUAGAGGAAUAACCCUAAAUACGAAUCCUUUGCUUGAGAAUUUCUUCCUUCCAAGUAUGGCUUAUCAGUUUGUUGUCUAUAACUUGUGUAGUUUGUCUCUUGCUCUGUAAUUGAAGGGAGAUCAGCAUAAACUUUUAGGAAGCAACAUUAGCAUUAGCUCAAUGACAAGCCUGUAAUGUUUUCUGAUAUCUUCAAUACCAC